UGUGACCUCAAAUCAGGUAGGACUACCCGCUGAACUUAAGCAUAUCAAUAAGCGGAGGAAAAGAAACUAACAAGGAUUCCCCUAGUAACUGCGAGUGAAGCGGGAAAAGCUCAAAUUUAAAAUCUGGCGGUCUUUUGGCUGUCCGAGUUGUAAUCUAGAGAAGUGUUAUCCGCGCUGGACCGUGUACAAGUCUCCUGGAAUGGAGCAUCAUAGAGGGUGAGAAUCCCGUCUUUGACAUGGACUGCCAGGGCUUUGUGAUGCGCUCUCAAAGAGUCGAGUUGUUUGGGAAUGCAGCUCAAAAUGGGUGGUAAAUUCCAUCUAAAGCUAAAUAUUGGCGAGAGACCGAUAGCGAACAAGUACCGUGAGGGAAAGAUGAAAAGAACUUUGGAAAGAGAGUUAAACAGUACGUGAAAUUGCUGAAAGGGAAACGCUUGAAGUCAGUCGCGUUGUCCAGGGAUCAACCUUGCUUUUGCUUGGUGCACUUCCUGGUUCGACGGGUCAGCAUCAAUUUUGAUCGUUGGAAAAAGGCCAAGGGAAUGUGGCAUCUUCGGAUGUGUUAUAGCCCUUUGUCACAUACAAUGGUUGGGAU
rnacentral:rRNA from 1 species